rnacentral:rRNA from 1 species
ACUCCUACGGGAGGCAGCAGUGGGAAUAUUGCACAAUGGGCGAAAGCCUGAUGCAGCAAUGCCGCGUGUGUGAAGAAGGCCUGCGGGUUGUAAAGCACUUUUAUCGGGAAAGAAAAAACCAGGGCUAAUACCCUUGGUCUUGACGGUACCCGUUGAAUAAGCACCGGCUAACUCCGUGCCAGCAGCCGCGGUAAUACGGAGGGUGCAAGCGUUAAUCGGAAUUACUGGGCGUAAAGCGAGUGUAGGCGGCGACG